rnacentral:lncRNA from 1 species
GGGAGGCAGAGCUGAGCAUCUCCCGUGCCUGCAGCCCUGGUGCCAGCCCCUCCAGAAGCCAAAGGGCAGAAUUGCCAUGUCAGGAGACAUCGUGAAUUCCACCAGCAAUUGCUCUCCAUGGGAGCUGGUCCCAGCCCUGUGCUGCCCCAGUAAGGGCAGUGAGUCAGGAGCAGCUUUGGGAAUGGCAGGACUCAAUGCGACUGGAGAAAAGAGCACGUGGAAUAUUGGAAAUUAAUUGAAACUUCAUAGAAAUGGGCAACACAAAGCCCCAGGACAUUGUUUCCCAGACCAUGAGCUGAUGCUUUUGGCUGCUGCAGAAGCUCCCCCAUCUCGUCUGAAGCUGCUGAAAAGGUACCAGAGCCAUAUUUUUUGUCAUGAUAGUCUAUUGACAUCCUAUAUCCAGAAAGUAAUGAUGAUCAGAUGGUGCUGCUGAAAUGAUCUGCUCUCAGUGCAGAACUCAUUCAAUCAGCAGAGAGCUCUGCUAUUCAAAUAGAUAAUUAGUGUUGUGACAAGGGUGACUGUAAAUGCCUCAGUUUGGUGGCAAUGUUAGGAAGUGUGACAAAAAUUAA